UCAGACGACGAGAGGUGGUGGGGAGGAGGAGGAAGAAGACGAUCUGAUCUUCGAUCCAGCAGACUUCUGCUUCAAUCCUCCAUCGUCUUCCUCCUCGAUCCCAACUUAGAUCUCUCCUCUGCAACAACAUUCACGGAGCAACUGUCAAAAUCCGUUAGAAAAUGUCGAUCAACAUGAAAACCUUCACCGAAGCUCUGGCGAGAACCGCCGCCGUGAUCGAGAAGACGGUUCACACCACAGUCCAGGAAGUCACGGGCCCGAAGCCUCUCCAGGACUACGAGCUCGUCCACCUCUGAAUACAUAUAUAUAUAUAUAUAUAUAUAUAUAUAUCGGUUAACCUGCUCGUGAGAAGAUGGAGUCAGAAAUCCGGUAAACCGUCAACUCUUCUUGGUCAAUCUUAUAGUUUGAUUGCAGCGGCAGGACUUUGAUUUGUAUGAUUUUGGAUGAUCUCAGGUAUGUCCCGUAUGGUGAUGUCAAAGUUGAAUGACAAGCCUGAGGAGAUUGAGCUGCUCCACCCAGCCCUAGGUACAUUUUGCAAAACUAUAUAUCUUCUUCAGUCUAAUCUUUCACAACCAAAAUAGUAAAGGGUAUUAUUAUGUUGGUUUCCGAAUCCUGUUUUCUUCUAUUCAUGCAAGUUUCUGCUAGAAGAAGUAGAUAUAAGAUAUAAGAUAGUUUCCCUCCCGAAAGAAUAUAGCGUCUGGACUUAUCUGUAUGUCUAUAUAAAACGUGUCUUAUCUAUGGUUAAUUGAUUCUACAGAAGCUAUGGUUACUACAUGUGCAGCCAUUACUCUCAAAUGCGUUCGUCCAUCGAUGGGGGAAAAGCCUCCAUUGACAGACAAGUUACCAGGCAGUACCACGGUUAUAACUAAUCAUAAUUGCCAAGUGUUCUUUUUCGACAAAACACAACGAUGAAUCUCAAUGAUAACAUUAGGUAAGUGUAACAUAUAAAGUAUAAAACUUGAAAAGAGAAAAUAUUAUCUCAAGAGAGCUCCAUUAUCUUGGUUCCUUUUCUGCUACUUUCUUCACCCAAAGAGCUCAUCUUUUCAUCAUCAUCACCAUCACUCUCAUCGCUGCUUGAAUCUCCUCCACUUCCAUUAGCCACACCAUUACCGGCAAUAGCCGCUUCAGCCGCACUGACUGCUUCAGGCGUGUUGAGAUCAGCGACACCGAGCAUCAAAUCCAUCUCAAUAACCUGAGAUUCGUUCCCCGUAAGUGCUUCGAUAUCAAAAGCCUCAGAGUUUCCUUCCUCUGUUUCUUGCUCCAACUUUUUGUUAGCUUCCGCCAUGACCCCCAGAAAGCCUUUGACUUUGUCGAGAAACUCGCUUUUGGGAACUGGAGCUAUCGUUGGCUUCGAUGGACGAGCCUCCUCCCUCUUCUUCUUGGUCUCCUUACGGAUCAAAAGUGCUGAAUCGGUAGCAGAGGAAGAAGAUGAUGGAUUCUUGUGUUCCAAUUCAAGUAAGUCUCUGCAAGUUCCCUUCCCUUCCAUGAUGUUUGAAGCUUUGGAGAAGAAGAGAAGUGUACCUAGAAAAAGAGUUUGCGUCGGUGGAGCUUGAUGUCGCCUGUGAAAUCGCCGCUAUAGCUUUAGGGUUUCGGUACUAGCUAGCAGUCGCGGCUAUAUAAACUAAAAAGAAAAAAAUCUUAUAACGGUAAAAUGUAAUUUUAACUUUUACUUUAAAAGGACAAAAUGGGAACAUCGACGGGUCAGACUUUGGCUUUACCGGUUGAUAGCCGGAGCUCCGAUCAUCGUCCUCCUCUAUUUGGAGAUGAUGACAAGUGUAUCUCAUUUCUCUAAGAUUCGAAUCGGUUUCACCCAGGGUCGGCCCUGAGAUUUUGGAGAGCCUUAGACGAUUUUUAUAAUAAUUUUAUUGAAAAAAAAAAUUUAAGAAAAUUUGGAAGCUUUUUAAAAAAAUUUGAGACCUAUGUAUAUGUAUUUUUUUUCAAAAAUUUUGGAGGUCCUAAACGAAUGUUUCAUCGGCUUUGCCCAGUACCGGUUCUGGUUUCACCAUUUCAAAAUUUUUUGCUGCUCCGGUGAAUACUGGUAACCGCCGACAAUAAUAAGGUUACUUCCAUCUCAAGUUAAGGAAAAUGACUGGUUUAGCAAAUAAAUAAAAAUAUUAAAAACGAGUGAGAGAAAAGAAAUAUAAAAAAGACUAUUGCUGGAUUCUUACCUCAUUGUCGCCUUGUUUCUUCAAUUACCACAUCCGGAUUCGAUUUCGCCGAAACUGAAUCGAUCUCUCUCUCUGUCUCUGCAAUCUCUCUUUGUCUCUGACGAAUCUCUCACUCUCUUUUCGAAACUCCCAAUUUUUUUCUUGUUUGGAACCCUAAAUUUCUAAAUGAAAUCGAUUUGGGGAAAAUGGUUAAGUCUGGGUCGGAUUUUUCGUUUGGUUCGGGUCGGGUUUUGUUAAUUGGAGUUUAACUUUACUUAAUUACGAGCUGACCCCAAUUAUUUUAACUAAAAUCAAUUAAACCUCGUUAUGAUGUUGGCACCAUGUUUUUAUUAACGUCGUAUAUGUGGCAUGUAUUUAUCAUAUACAUCGUGUAGGUUUCGACACAAUUCUAAACUCUAGAUGGUUUGCACCAUAUUAUAGUAUACAUGGUGUAGCUGAGAAACUUUUUUCCUUAAGGAAAAUAAAAAUCAAUCAGACGACGAGAGGUGGUGGGGAGGAGGAGGAAGAAGACGAUCUGAUCUUCGAUCCAGCAGACUUCUGCUUCAAUCCUCCAUCGUCUUCCUCCUCGAUCCCAACUUAGAUCUCUCCUCUGCAACAACAUUCACGGAGCCAGCUCCACUGGAGCACUGCUGCUUUUAGUAACAGAAGAAUCAUCGUCACCAGCCAUCGACUUGAUGUGCUAGAGAUCUAAAAAAAAAAAAAUUAGGUUGCAGGAUUGAAUUGCUCUGAUACCAUGUAAAGCAAAACUGAGAUUGAUAAACUAUUGACUUGAUAUUAACGUGAGCAAAGGCUCUUCUUAAAUACAACAUAGCGAUGCCUUGAUACGCAAGCUAUUUGGACUUAUCUCUAAUAUAUUACAUGUAGAUAACACAACUUUGAAGUUAAUCCAUAACGUAGGGAUUAUCUCCCUAAUAUUGGUUUAUAUUCUCUACCUACAACUGUUCAUAGCACAUGCCUUUUGAAUAUGAAGUGAAUCUCUUUUUUGCUGUUGUUAGAGGGAGGAAAUGUAUGUUAUGUCUGCAAAGAAUAAACGUGUUUCGAUACAGCUUUUGGGAGGGGACAAGAUCCAGGAGCUUAACAGUGCUUCUCUUCCUUUUCUUGGUGUUAUCUCUCUUGGAGUUUAAUCUGACUUGGGAUUAGAAGCUGAACAUUUUUUGACAUUGCUUGUUUCAUUUGCUUCCUCUGUUCCAGAUUUGAAGCUGCUGGACUUAACUGGAAACUUGAUUUCUGUCUGGGAGGUACUAUUCUGUGACAUUGCUAUAAAAUAAUGUGAUAGACACCACUAUAUAUGAUCUUCUAUCAAGAUGUUAGUUUAUUGAAGAAUACUAACAAAACUCCUACUACGGUAAUUCGAGAAAACACUCCUCGUUUAUUAAAAGAAACGACAACUCCUUUCUUGAUCUCUAAUGGAUGAUCUUUUAUUGAAAUCAAAUGUCUCCUUUAAAAUAGGAACAAACCUUGGUAAGCAAGUAUUACAUAAAGGAAGUUAUGGAAAUAACGAAACUAACAAUAGGCAAAAGUGAAAAGUAAAUAUUCUAAAAGAUGUUCUUUUACUACAGUUUAUGAUUGAUCAUCUGUUUCUGGCUUUCAGGAAAUGGGUGCUCUUUGACUUUGUGAACAGUUACCACCCUUAACUUGUCUUGCAAUUCUUUGUCAAGUGAAUUUAAUUCUCUGCCGGAGUUAAAACAUAUUCGUGUUUUGGUUGAUUGGUUCUCAAUAAUACUGGUCUGACCUGGACUCAGGUGAUAUAUAUCACUCUUUUAACCUGACCUGUCACUUUCUCCCAUGAGCUGUUUGAGCACCAUUGCCAAUUUUUUUAACUUUUAUGGCUCUUACCAUAAUGGCGCGGGUUGAAAAUCUUAGGAACAAGUGCCUGCAAAUAUGUUCAACAUAUUGGCUACCUUUAGUUGCUCUUUAAUAUCUGAAUACAUAUAUAUAUAUAUAUAUAUAUAUAUAUAUGGAAGACCAAAGGGGAAGGCAAGGAUUAAAGGAGUGCGUGAAUCCCCGAAGAAAAAUCAGACCAAAGUUGAUAGAAAAGGAAGAAUAGGUCAUUGUGGUCUUUGUGGUGGUGAAGGCCACAACUCAAGGAAGUGUCCUCAUGAGGUACAUUGUCGUCGUUGCAAUUGUCUAGCUUUUUUUCUUUCUCGUGAUUGAUUCUCUUUAUUUUUAUUACGUUGCAGUCUGAUGAAAGCAGAAAGCGUAGGCGUCUCAACAUGGAACAACAAUCACAUGAGCAAGCAAUCGAGGACAUUUCCUCAACUGCACCACCUGCUACACAACCUUGACUUCUCUAGAAUGUCUUUUUCUUUUCUCGGAUGUCUUUUUUUCCGCUUUUGAUGUCUUCUUUGGUCUUUGGAUAUGACCUUUCUCUCAGCGGAUAUGUGUGUUUUGGAUGUUAAACUAGUGUUGAUGUCUCUCUUGUUAUGUAAGAUCACCUAUUUUGGAUGUUAAAGCAAUGAGUUCAAACUCUUUUUUUUAUUGCUAACUGAAGUUGAUUUCCAAACAUUGUCAAACCAUUACAUAGUUAAGCAUUACAACAACAACAUUACAAAGGUUUUUAAAGAUAAUGAGCAUGUCUUUAGAGCUUGAGAAAGGCGUUAAUGAUGUCUUCUUCCACUUCCGCAUUUUUGGCCAAUUCACUUUGAAGCAUCGAAAUGGUCUUCUUCAAUCCCAUAAUAGUCUUGUCCUUCUGGCGAAUUUCGUUUCUAGCUUCAAUCAAAGCUUUCUUUUGCCAUCCAAAAGCUUCUCCCUCAUCGAACCAUUGAAAGAACCCGCAUUCACCUCCACUCUAACACAAACAUAAAAUUAAAAACUUCUCAAAGAACUCCAUGACUAUACCAUACAUGAUUCACAAUUAGUUUAUACCUUGAAUUUUUCACACCCAUAGAACCUUCGACCCGGAUUUUUGUCUGUCCAAGCUUGAGAUAUCUUUGCCACCAACCCACAGUAACAAAGAACAUUGCUUUCAUUUGCCUUGCCCUUUCCCUUAUUGCUCCAUCUUCCACCAAAUUCCAUCUCUCUUUCUCUGUUUCUGUCUCUUUCUCUCUUUCUCUGUUUUGAAGAACGAUGAACCCUAAAUUGCUGAUUGAAAUCGAUUUGGGGGAGAGAAUUGGUUAAGUCUGGGUCGGGUUUUUCGUUUAGUUCGGGUCGGAGUUUAACUUUACUUAAUUACGAGCUGACCCCAAUUAUUUUAACUAAAAUCAAUUAAACCUCGUUAUGAUGUUGGCACCAUGUUUUUAUUAACGUCGUAUAUGUGGCAUGUAUUUAUCAUAUACAUCGUGUAGGUUUCGACACAAUUCUAAACUCUAGAUGGUUUGCACCAUAUUAUAGUAUACAUGGUGUAGCUGAGAAACUUUUUUCCUUAAGGAAAAUAAAAAUCAAUCAGACGACGAGAGGUGGUGGGGAGGAGGAGGAAGAAGACGAUCUGAUCUUCGAUCCAGCAGACUUCUGCUUCAAUCCUCCAUCGUCUUCCUCCUCGAUCCCAACUUAGAUCUCUCCUCUGCAACAACAUUCACGGAGCAACUGUCAAAAUCCGUUAGAAAAUGUCGAUCAACAUGAAAACCUUCACCGAAGCUCUGGCGAGAACCGCCGCCGUGAUCGAGAAGACGGUUCACACCACAGUCCAGGAAGUCACGGGCCCGAAGCCUCUCCAGGACUACGAGCUCGUCCACCAGAUCGGCUCCGCGGGCCCCGGCCUCGCCUGGAAGCUCUACGCAGCCAAGGCGCGUGACGCCACGCGAUCGCAGCAGUACCCGACGGUCUGCGUGUGGAUGCUUGAUAAACGCGCUUUGACGGAGGCUCGUCUCCGAGCGGG
rnacentral:lncRNA from 1 species